UUUUUUCAUUGUUUGUUUGUUUGUUUGUUUUUCUUUGUUUGUGAUACUGGGAACUGGACCCAGGGGCCCUGUAGCACCUACGUUCUCAGCCCCUUUUAUUUAUUUAUUUAUUUUGAAACAAGAUCUCACUAAUUUUCCCAGGCUUAGCCUCAAAUUUGCAGGCUUUCUGCCUCAGCUUCCCAAGUCACUGGAAAUACAGGCAUAUGCCAUCGAUCCUAGCUCGUCAUCAGUUUUUUUGUGGGUACCUCUGGGACCCUGGCUUCCUGUGUCUACAGUCAGUCCAGAGUCCACAGUGAAGCCAUCCACAGCUCCCAAUGCACCUCUGCAGCCUCAUCUCUGGCCACUCGGUUAUACUUCAGCCUUUUCCUUUCUGCUAUUGUCCUUUUGCUUAAGAUAUUUGUCUGUGUGUAUCUGUUUUUAAUGUCCUGUAUACUUCUACUUUGGCUUCAAAACCCAUCUGAAAUAUCUUUUCUGGGGCUCCGGCCUCAUUUUCUUCCUAUGGACCCAAAUUAUGCUGGUACCUCUGCUUGAGCACUCAAAAUUGUAUCUGACACCUGUGUUGAAUGGCCUCUAGAUUCUUGCCUCCUGACUGACUUUGAGGGGCAGCUUUUUGUUGUGUGGGUUCACUGGGGAGGAGUGACAAAUCCUGUGAAUGCUUAAAAAAUUGGAACAUUCAAAAGAUUAUAAUCUUUUACUAUUUCCAUUCCCUUUUGUCCAUUUCAUGAUAGGAGAGAGGGCCAAUAGUUCUUGCCUAGGGAUUUGAUGGUGUGUUUUCUAAGAGAUGACAGAAAUGCCACUAGCAAUUAUGGUAACCAGAGAAGCUAAGUGUUCAGAGGUUGGUAACCUAUUUUCUUUUCAUCUGACCAUGUGUCUGUACUUGUUCCCCUUGAAUUGUAGCCCAGGUGCUCUCACAGUCUUGAAAAGGAAAUCCCCACCCUCUCUGUCACAUCUGCACAGAAUGCUCAGAGCAGCGUGUACCCUGUGCAUGUAGCUAUCCUUCUUUAGAACCCUCGUUCUCCAGCAGGGCUGGCCAAUCCGCUUCUCCAUCUUAGUCACGCUGUUCCAGCCCUGAUACUGCCUGGUGCCUGCUGGAGCCUCUGCUGCUUGCAGCAGAUUAUUGUAUGCUUGUUCCUGGGCCCAUUUCCUGUUUCUAUUCUAGUCACUGGUGGCUCAGCUCUGCUUCCUGCUUGUGUGUCUCACACAGAUUCCUCUUGCUGGAACCUUUUGUUUUAUUUGCAACAACCACCGUUUGAAAAGCAGCUGAGCCUUACCUCUAAUAUGAUGGUUCCUAUACUCCAUCAUUCCUACAGAAGAGUGGGGGAAAAUACCCCAUCACACCAAACAUACCACUUGAAUUUGACCUUGUUUUUAAUUUUGUCCCUAGACUGCUACAGGAAGCUGUAGACCAGAGAUUGGUAUAAGAAGUCAAGCCAAACAUAUCUUCACUCAUUAGCCACACACUAUUGUCAGUAGUGGGGCUCCCUAGUUUUUUG
rnacentral:lncRNA from 1 species